CAGCAUUACUAGUAUUGGAGGCACUGCCUGCCCAGUGACAUCCGUUAAACGGCCGCGGUAUCCUGACCGUGCAAAGGUAGCAUAAUCACUUGUUCUCUAAAUAAGGACUUGUAUGAAUGGCCACACGAGGGUUUUACUGUCUCUUACUUCCAAUCAGUGAAAUUGACCUCCCCGUGAAGAGGCGGGAAUAGACCAAUAAGACGAGAAGACCCUAUGGAGCUUCAACUAACUAGCCCAAAGAAAACAAACUCAAUCACCAAGAGACAACAACACUCUCCAUGGGCCAGCAGUUUCGGUUGGGGUGACCUCGGAGAACAAAAAAUCCUCCGAGCGAUUUUCAAGACAAGACCCACAGGUCAAAUCACACUAUCGCUCAUUGAUCCAAAAAUUUGAUCAACGGAACAAGUUACCCUAGGGAUAACAGCGCAAUCCUAUUCAAGAGUCCAUAUCGACAAUAGGGUUUACGACCUCGAUGUUGGAUCAGGACAUCCCGAUGGUGCAGCCGCUAUCAAAGGUUCGU
rnacentral:rRNA from 1 species